rnacentral:tRNA from 1 species
GGAGCUGUGGCUGAGUGGCCGAAAGCGGCGGUUUGCUAAACCGUUAUACGAGUAAAAUCGUAUCGGGGGUUCGAAUCCCCCCGGCUCCG